UCCUCCUUAGCUCAGCUGGUUAGAGCAUCUGACUGUUAAUCAGAGGGUCCAAGGUUCGAGUCCUUGAGGGGGAG
rnacentral:tRNA from 1 species